rnacentral:rRNA from 1 species
CCUACGGGUGGCAGCAGUGAGGAAUAUUGGUCAAUGGACGCAAGUCUGAACCAGCCAUGCCGCGUGCAGGAAGACGGCUCUAUGAGUUGUAAACUGCUUUUGUACGAGGGUAAACGCAGAUACGUGUAUCUGUCUGAAAGUAUCGUACGAAUAAGGAUCGGCUAACUCCGUGCCAGCAGCCGCGGUAAUACGGAGGAUUCAAGCGUUAUCCGGAUUUAUUGGGUUUAAAGGGUGCGUAGGCGGUCGGAUUAGUUAGAGGUGAAAUCCCGAGGCUCAACUUCGGAAUUGCCUCUGAUACUGUUCGGCUAGAGAGUAGUUGCGGUAGGCGGAAUGUAUGGUGUAGCGGUGAAAUGCUUAGAGAUCAUACAGAACACCGAUUGCGAAGGCAGCUUACCGGCGCUCAACUGACGCUGAGGCACGAAAGCGUGGGGAUCGAACAGGAUUAGAUACCCUGGUAGUC